AGAUGAUGAUAAUCAUGAUGAUCCUGAUGAUCCUGAUGAUCUGAUGAUCCUGAUGAUCAUGAUCAUCAUGAUUAUCAUGAUCAUCAUGAUUAUCA
rnacentral:pre_miRNA from 1 species